UGCGGACGGGCCGGCGCCCGACCGGGUCUCAUAAGCCUGGAUGCUGGGUUCAACUCCCAGGUCCGCAAC
rnacentral:tRNA from 1 species